GACGAACGCUGGCGGCGUGCUUAACACAUGCAAGUCGAACGGAAAGGCCCUGCUUUUGUGGGGUGCUCGAGUGGCGAACGGGUGAGUAACACGUGAGUAACCUGCCCUUGACUUUGGGAUAACUUCAGGAAACUGGGGCUAAUACCGGAUAGGAGCUCCUGCUGCAUGGUGGGGGUUGGAAAGUUUCGGCGGUUGGGGAUGGACUCGCGGCCUAUCAGCUUGUUGGUGGGGUAGUGGCUUACCAAGGCUUUGACGGGUAGCCGGCCUGAGAGGGUGACCGGCCACAAUGGGACUGAGAGACGGCCCAGACGGCUACGGGAGGCAGCAGUGGGGAAUAUUGCACAAUGGGCGGAAGCCUGAUGCAGCAACGCCGGGUGCGGGAUGACGGCCUUCGGGUUGUAAACCGCUUUCGCCUGUGACGAAGCGUGAGUGACGGUAAUGGGUAAAGAAGCACCGGCUAACUACGUG
rnacentral:rRNA from 1 species